rnacentral:tRNA from 1 species
GUUAAAGUGGCAGAGUUGAAAUGCGAGGAAUUUAAGCUUCCUCUAAGGUUAUUAACCCUUUAAUG